AUUAACCCUUAAUAACAUCAACACGCUGGGCUGGUCUGUGACGCUCACUCAUCUCUCUCACCACAACUUAAUAUUAACUUCAUCAAGUUAACUCUUGCCAAGUUUCCUCCUCAACACGCUGAUACUUCAGUUCAUCUUUAUCCCAGAAGAAUUAAACUUGCAAUGGGAGCUCCCAGUGACAUAAUGGUGGUAUGAAACCCACGCUUUAUAUGGUAUGUCAUCACUGAGUUUGAUGAAGUACACCAGUGUGGGACACCUUACAUCCACAGUGUCAACUACACCAGUGUGGGACACCUUACAUCCACAGUGUCAAGUGCAAGUUUACAUCAGUCAUUCAAAUAUUCUUAUAUGCACUCUUCAUUUAAAGUAUUGUAUGAACACAAUCACUGCUUUGUAAAUCCUUUUAUCAAAGAAAAUAUGAUCAUUUAGAUAAAGACAUCAAUACUAUAAAUUUGUGUUCCAUAUUUAAGCGUUACAAUUGUUAAUCUUUCAUAGUGAUAUCUUUUAAAAUAAAGUAAUUUUAUAACCAAAAAGAUGUCUUCUCACAUUGAAGGUGUAGUUUUGAUUAUAUAGAUUAUAUAAAUAUUGUGUGUAUGUGAAGCUGUUUCGUGCUAUUAUUUACAAUGGAAGUACAGGAACCUCUUUGAAUAAAAACUCUAUGACUGGGGAACACCUCCACUACCACUCCCUUGGCUGUAAUAUUUGACAGUUGUUGCCACAGCCUGUUCUAGCUGAUGAUGGCCAGUAUACCUGCUGGAUAGCAUAUACAAAUAAACACUAGGAAACAUAAGUGCUCCAAGUAACAAGAUGGUGGGCACCAAGAAGAAGCAUAAAUAAUUGAAGCUUUCCAUAAAAUUGCUGACAGUAAAAAUAUAAAUUUGAAUCAUGUGAAUUACGAAGGAUGGGGAUUGUGAGGCAUGUGGAUGACCAAGCAUGUUGUUGAUAAACCUCAUGGAUUAUGAAGCAUAUGUAUUACAGAUUACAUAAAUUUCAAGGUAUGUGAAUUAUAAUGGCUGGAGAUUGCCAAGCAUGUGGAUGAUGAAACAGUGAUAAUGCACGUGGAUUAUAAAGGGUGGAAAUUGUGUAGCAUAUAGAUUAUGAAGAAUACUAACAUAGCACAUGGAUUAUGAAAGAUGGAUUGCAAGUGAUCAGCUGCCUUUGAGCAGCAACAGGGACUUGGCAUGCAUUGCUGGUCUGCUCUGCACUUUUAUUUUGUUUAGAUGCCAGAUUAAACAAGAUUCCCAGAUAAUGUUGGAAACUAACCACUCCCUGGAUAAUUGAUGAUCUGCAUGUAUUUAAUUUCUCUUAUUUCAUUAUGUAUUUUUUUAAAAUAUUUAACUUGCUCUGUGUAGCAUCAAAUUUAAUAAGCCUUACAUAAGGGCUCCUGAGAAUAUGGCUUCAUUGCUCUAUUGAAUGCCAUAAAUGGUAGACGUAUUCCGCCUCUGAGGUCGACAAAAUCGUGAUGUUGUCACGUUUAUACCUUUAACAAGUACAUUUUUACUAAAAAUACUUUAAAUAAAAAUGUACACUACAGUUGAAUAUUACAGUACAAAUAAAAUCUAGAUAAAAUUGAGACAAUAAUUUGUCCCAGUGUGGAUGUCCAUAAUUCCACUGGAUGGCAGACUUUUAUGUUUUUGUGUUGCAGCUAUAAUCUCAUUAUCUUUAAAAUGUUAGUUAGGACUCAAGCCAGAAGGCCACAGGCACAUUAAAAAUUUGUUUUGUAAUUUAAAAUUUCAGCCAUAUUCUUCAUGCUAAUUGCUUGUUUGCCAUACAUGCUGUAUUAUGUAUCACUCCCUUCAUGGAAGCACAGAUAUUCUCAAUAAAGAAAUCAGUCUAAUUUAAAA